rnacentral:misc_RNA from 1 species
GAAAUGCGAUAAGUAGUGUGAAUUGCAGAAUUCAGUGAAUCAUCGAAUCUUUGAACGCACAUUGCGCCCCUUGGUAUUCCAUGGGGCAUGCCUGUUUGAGCGUCAUUUGUACCCUCAAGCUCUGCUUGGUGUUGGGUGUUUGUCCCGUCUCCGCGCGUGGACUCGCCCCAAAGUGAUUGGCAGCCGGCGUACUGGUCCCGGAGCGCAGCACAUGUCGCGCAAACGAGUGCCUUGGUACGGCGGCGUCCAUAAGCCCCUCUCUCACGCUCUUGACCUCGGAUCAGGUAGGGAUACCCGCUGAACUUAAGC